CCUGGCACCCAGACCACUUCAUUAAGCUAAAAUGGUCUGGGUGCCUAUAGUGGUCCUUUAAGCCUGAGCAUUAGCCUGAGCAGCAAUGGAUAGCUGUGAUUGACUGAGAAUAUCAGAUGACUGCUUUCAGUCUAUCACAAUGCCAAUUGCUAGUAUGAUUUGGUAUGCUUAGAAGAAAAUGUGUAAUCUCUGCCUUAUCCAUAUUUCCAG